CCUACGGGAGGCAGCAGUGAGGAAUAUUGGUCAAUGGACGAGAGUCUGAACCAGCCAAGUAGCGUGAAGGAUGACUGCCCUAUGGGUUGUAAACUUCUUUUAUAAAGGAAUAAAAUGAGGCACGUGUGCCUUUUUGUAUGUACUUUAUGAAUAAGGAUCGGCUAACUCCGUGCCAGCAGCCGCGGUAAUACGGAGGAUCUGAGCGUUAUCCGGAUUUAUUGGGUUUAAAGGGAGCGUAGAUGGGUUGUUAAGUCAGUUGUGAAAGUUUGCGGCUCAACCGUAAAAUUGCAAUUGAUACUGGCAGUCUUGAGUACAGGUGAGGUAAGCGGAAUGCGUGGUGUAGCGGUGAAAUGCUUAGAUAUCACGAAGAACCCCGAUUGCGAAGGCAGCUUACUAAACUGUGACUGACAUUGAUGCUCGAAAGUGUGGGUAUCAAACAGGAUUAGAUACCCCAGUAGUC
rnacentral:rRNA from 1 species